rnacentral:rRNA from 1 species
ACGAGUGGCGCACGGGUGAGUAACGCGUACGCAACCUACCUUCAAGAGUGGGAUAGCCCCGGGAAACUGGGAUUAAUACCGCAUAGUAUUUAAACAUUGCAUAAUGUUUAAAUUAAAGCUCCGGUGCUUGAAGAUGGGCGUGCGUGCUAUUGGCUAGUUGGUGAGGUAACGGCUCACCAAGGCGAUGAUAGCUAGGGGGCGUGAGAGCGUGACCCCCCACACGGGUACUGAGACACGGACCCG